GGUGCAGUGGGGUGCUAGGGGGUGCUAUAGGGCCCUAUGGGGUGCUAUGGGGGGCUAUGGUGCUAUAGGGUACUAUAGGGUGCAGUGGGGUGCAAAGGGGUGCUAUAGGGGGCUGUGGGUGCAAUGGGGCGCUAUAGGGUGCAGUGGGGUGCGUGGAGUGUGUAGUAUGGGGUGCUAUGGGGUGUAGUAGGGUGCUAUAGGGUGCUUUGGGGUGCUAUUGCACAGAGUGGGGUGCUGUAGGGUGCUAUGGGGUGCAGUAGGGUGCUAUAGAGCUCAGUGGGGUGCUAUAGGGUGUGAUAGGAUAUAACGGGGUGCUGUAGGAUAUAAUGAGGUUCUAUAGGGCGCAAUGGGGUUCUAUAGGGCGCAGUGGGGUGCUAUAGGGUAUAAUGGGGUGCUGUGGGCUAGAGUGGGUUUCUAUAGAGUACAGUGGGGUGCUAUGGGGUACAGUGGGGUUCAAUAGGGCGCAAUGGGGUGCUAUGGAGUGCUAUAGGGUGUAACAGGGUGCUAUAGGGUAUAAGGGGGUGCUAUAG